rnacentral:rRNA from 1 species
GACGGAGGGUGCUAGCGUUGUUCGGAAUCACUGGGCGUAAAGGGCGCGUAGGCGGCGCAGCGUGUCGGCUUGUGAAAGCCCGGGGCUCAACCCCGGAGGUGCGGCCGAAACUGCUGUGCUGGAGGCCGGAAGAGGAGGGUGGAAUACCCAGUGUAGAGGUGAAAUUCGUAGAUAUUGGGUGGAACACCGGUGGCGAAAGCGGCUCUCUGGUCCGGACCUGACGCUGAGGCGCGAAAGCGUGGGGAGCAAACAGG